rnacentral:rRNA from 1 species
UGAGGAAUAUUGCGCAAUGGGGGAAACCCUGACGCAGCAACGCCGCGUGGGUGAAGAAGGCCUUCGGGUUGUAAAGCACUUUCACUCGCGAAGAUGAUGACGGUAGCGAGAGAAGAAGCGCCGGCUAACUCCGUGCCAGCAGCCGCGGUAAUACGGAGGGCGCAAGCGUUGUUCGGAAUCAUUGGGCGUAAAGCGCGUGUAGGCGGCUUGGCAAGUCGGGUGUGAAAUCCCGGGGCUCAACCCCGGAACUGCAUUCGAUACUGCCUGGCUAGAGUCCCGGAGAGGAGGGCGGAAUUCCCGGUGUAGAGGUGAAAUUCGUAGAUAUCGGGAGGAACACCAGUGGCGAAGGCGGCCCUCUGGACGGUGACUGACGCUGAGAUGCGAAAGCGUGGGGAGCAAGCAGGAUUAGAUACCCUGGUAGUCCACGCUGUAAACGUUGGGUGCUAGGUGUCGCGGGUAUUGACCCCUGCGGUGCCGACGCUAACGCAUUUAGCACCCCGCCUGGGGAGUACGGUCGCAAGGCUA